ensembl:lncRNA
CUCUGCGGCAGGUUUUGUGGUGGCAGAUGCCUGCUCAGCUUGUACAAGCUUGAUGGGGUUUGUAGGGGGAGAGAAUCCACUGCAGGACAGGUGCCAGAGGUCGCUCCUCCGAUACUCUGAGCUUUAAUUCUGUCCCUGGAGACAUUCAAAGUCAGGCUAGGCUGGGCUCUGAACAACCUGCUCUAACUAUAGGUAUUCCUGUUCAUUGCAGGGGAGUUGGACUAGCUGGCCUAUAAUGGUCUCUUCUAAUUCAAAGGAUUCCAUGAUUCCAUGAUGGAAUCCACCCCGUGGAGCUCAUGGGGCAAUCUAGAGAAAGCCUUGGCCAAGGUGGAGAAGAGCAGGAUGGCCAAGGGGCAUCUUCCACAGAUUGCAUUGGGAUUAUGUUCUUGAAAAUGAAUUUCUGCACCUCAUGAGCAAUGAAGUAUGUCUCUGCAAGGGAACAGUGUCCAAAGGGAUGACAGGAACUACUCUGGUGUCAGCCAUUCUGUUGCUUUCCUGGGUGCAGGGCUGGAAGCCCCCAGAAGACCUGCUGUCCAUGCUGGUUUGUAGGACCUCUGAGCACUGCUUCACCCUGAUGGGGUGUGCCCCACUGGGAGCUCUGGCAGCUCCUCAUAUCAGAAAACAGAAGAUGUAAGUCAUAAUCUUCUUUCUCAUUCCAUGGCACAGAGGGUCAUUCACUUCUGCUGAUGGGAAUGUAAUUAGUACUUAAUUAUGCAAUGGUCCUGGCCUUCCUUAAUUAACUUGGAUUAUUUAAAGUAUUCAAAGCGUUCUGGAAAUAUAAAUUGCAGUAGGUCCAACCCUUACAUUUUGCUAAGAACUAAGUAUAACCUAGUAAGAAAUACAAAUAUCAUUAAUUCUUGAUACCUGCUUCUUGUAUACAUUGGAUUAAUUCCUUUUUUUACUCCAUUAUGUAUAUUUGGUGAUGGACAUCAGUGUCCUAUGGGAAUCUAUACAUAUUCUAUGACUCUAUGCAGAGUAAAUGCUCUGAUGUAUUGGCUGGCUAUUGAAAAUUCUGUCUUGUAUUUCUGCUUUUAGCUUGUGCCUGUGUGAAGUAUCUGUCUGUCAUUAUAUGUCUAAAAAUAAAAGAAAGUUAUAAAUGGUGAUUUUUAGGCUUCCACAGCAUUGUGGUUUGGAAUGAGAACAUUAUGCAACAG